rnacentral:sRNA from 1 species
UUUACUUUUUAAAUAAAUCGCACAUAUACCGGCACAUAUCCCGGGGUGCCCCAUGCUGUGUUCUUGUCAAAGAGAACAGGCAUAGAGGGUCGGGUUUAUGGGGUAUAUGGAGGCAUAAC